ensembl:rRNA 5S_rRNA 5S ribosomal RNA
AUCCACGGCCAUACCACCCUGAACACACCUGAUCUCCUCUGAUUUUGGAAGCUGAGCAGGGCCAGGCCUGGUUAGUACUGGAUAGUAGAAAUGGUAGUGUCUCCUCAGAUUCAAAGAUGAGGGUCAUGGGGU